CCUACGGGAGGCAGCAGUGAGGAAUAUUGGACAAUGGGCGAGAGCCUGAUCCAGCCAUGCCGCGUGCAGGAAGACGGCCCUAUGGGUUGUAAACUGCUUUUAUACGGGAAGAAACACCCCUUCGUGAAGGGGCUUGACGGUACCGUAAGAAUAAGGAUCGGCUAACUCCGUGCCAGCAGCCGCGGUAAUACGGAGGAUCCAAGCGUUAUCCGGAAUCAUUGGGUUUAAAGGGUCCGUAGGCGGGACAAUAAGUCAGUGGUGAAAGUCUGCAGCUCAACUGUAGAAUUGCCAUUGAUACUGUUGUUCUUGAGUGUUUAUGAAGUGGUUAGAAUAUGUAGUGUAGCGGUGAAAUGCAUAGAUAUUACAUAGAAUACCGAUUGCGAAGGCAGGUCACUAAUAAAUACUGACGCUGAUGGACGAAAGCGUAGGUAGCGAACAGGAUUAGAUACCCUGGUAGUCUACGCCGUAAACGAUGGUUACUAGCUGUUUGGUCUUCGGACUGAGUGGCUAAGCGAAAGUGAUAAGUAACCCACCUGGGGAGUACGUUCGCAAGAAUGAAACUCAAAGGAAUUGACGGGGGCCCGCACAAGCGGUGGAGCAUGUGGUUUAAUUCGAUGAUACGCGAGGAACCUUACCAGGGCUUAAAUGUAGUCUGACAGGAGUGGAAACACUCCCUUCUUCGGACAGAUUACAAGGUGCUGCAUGGUUGUCGUCAGCUCGUGCCGUGAGGUGUCAGGUUAAGUCCUAUAACGAGCGCAACCCCUGUUGUUAGUUGCCAGCGAGUAGUGUCGGGAACUCUAACAAGACUGCCGGUGCAAACCGUGAGGAAGGUGGGGAUGACGUCAAAUCAUCACGGCCCUUACGUCCUGGGCCACACACGUGCUACAAUGGUAGGGACAGAGAGCAGCCACGUCGCAGGCGGAGCGAAUCUAUAAACCCUAUCUCAGUUCGGAUCGGAGUCUGCAACUCGACUCCGUGAGCUGGAAUCGCUAGUAAUCGCAUAUCAGUCAUGACGCGGUGAUACGUUUCCCAGG
rnacentral:rRNA from 1 species